CAAAAGUAGAUGAAGAAGGAAGGCUCCAAAAGCAUGUCAUUGAGCAUGUCCAAAAGCAUCUCAAUGACUGAACCAUGGAGACAAAGAUUUGAAGAGUCUCCCUUCCUAGGAGUGCUCCCUGAAGGCUCCACUCUUUGGACUCCACUAAUAGAUUUCUUUGCCUUUUGGCUUUCGGCUGGAUCCGGUCAAUGGUUGGGGAGAGGAAGACACAAGCAGCAUGCCAGAGGAGAUAUGGAGGAGAGUUGGAUUGAUAUUUAUUUUCCUGGAUUUUGCCACUCAGACUUGCUUUGGGCUGGUUGCAACCCUUGACUGAAGUUCAUCCUCCUAUUAGGGACUUCUGGGUAUUUGCUUCCUCAUCUUCAUCCUUCAUCAAGCCCUUACAGCUCCAGCCUUUUGCACUAUCUCCAGUUAUUUCUCUACCUUUGCCCAUGCCUUUGUAAUAAUUCACUUUGUUAAAUUUUCUUUGAAUUAUCCAAAUUUCCUGCCACAAGCCCUCUGAUACACAAUCAGUUGGAGUUAUGGAACCCUAAAGGAAGUCUUUUAACCUAUUUAUGUGUGAUAGUUCUCCAUUGAACGUUAUGUAAUACCAGCCUUCACUUUUACCAGGAAGUUGUAAAGGCAAAAUGAGGAAGUAGAAAAAGGGGCUCUGGGAGGCUUAAAAUAAAAAAAAUAAUUACAAAGUAAGGCA
rnacentral:lncRNA from 1 species